GACAGAGGGUGCAAACGUUGUUCGGAAUUACUGGGCGUAAAGCGCAUGUAGGCGGCAACGCAAGUCGGGCGUGAAAUCCCACGGCUCAACCGUGGAAGUGCACUCGAAACUGCGUAGCUAGAGUCCUGGAGAGGAAGGUGGAAUGCUUGGUGUAGAGGUGAAAUUCGUAGAUAUCAAGCGGAACACCGGUGGCGAAGGCGGCCUCUGGACAGUGACUGACGCUGAGAUGCGAAAGCGUGGGGAGCAAACAGGGAUUAGAUACCCCAGAGUACG
rnacentral:rRNA from 1 species